rnacentral:lncRNA from 12 species
CCACCUAUUUUAUCUCUAGAGAUCCUAUGAUCAAUUAGCUAUAGACUUUGGCUUGGACAGUACUCUGUCCCUAUCUUUUUUUUUUUUUUUUUAAGAUUUUAUUUGUUUAUUCAUGAUAGACACAGAGAGAGAAGCAGAGACACAGGCAGAGGGAGGAGCAGCCUCCAUGCAGAGAGCCCCACAUGGGAAUCGAUCCCUGACCUCCAGGAUCAUGCCCUGGUCUGAAGGUGGCACUAAAACCGCUGAGUCACCGGGGCUGCCCUGUCCCUAUCUUCCUACUAUCAGCCAUCAGCUCUUGGAGAGAGGGGAAAAACCAACAAAAGGGACAAAAUCAAGAGUGGUAGAUGGCCUUACGAACUGGCCUUGAAGACAUAAUCACACUUCAGAAAGGGGACCCAUCACCAAGGCCAGAAGCUUUCAAGGAACCCAGACAAGGGACACACAGGUAAUGGGAGUAAAGAGGCAAGACAGAGAAUACUCAUUAAAUAAUAAAAGAACUAAUCUUCCUGAGUCA